GGCAUGCCUUACACAUGCAAGUCGAACGGCAGCACGGGUGCUUGCACCUGGUGGCGAGUGGCGAACGGGUGAGUAAUACAUCGGAACGUGUCCUGUAGUGGGGGAUAGCCCGGCGAAAGCCGGAUUAAUACCGCAUACGAUCUACGGAUGAAAGCGGGGGAUCUUCGGACCUCGCGCUAUAGGGGCGGCCGAUGGCGGAUUAGCUAGUUGGUGAGGUAAAGGCUCACCAAGGCGACGAUCCGUAGCUGGUCUGAGAGGACGACCAGCCACCCUGGGACUGAGACACGGCCCAGACUCCUACGGGAGGCAGCAGUGGGGAAUUUUGGACAAUGGGCGAAAGCCUGAUCCAGCAAUGCCGCGUGUGUGAAGAAGGCCUUCGGGUUGUAAAGCACUUUUGUCCGGAAAGAAAUCCUUGGUCCUAAUAUGGCCGGGGGAUGACGGUACCGGAAGAAUAAGCACCGGCUAACUACGUGCCAGCAGCCGCGGUAAUACGUAGGGUGCAAGCGUUAAUCGGAAUUACUGGGCGUAAAGCGUGCGCAGGCGGUGAUGUAAGACCGAUGUGAAAUCCCCGG
rnacentral:rRNA from 1 species